GAUGAAGAACGCAGCGAAAUGCGAUAAGUAAUGUGAAUUGCAGAAUUCAGUGAAUCAUCGAAUCUUUGAACGCACCUUGCACUCCUUGGUAUUCCGAGGAGUACGCCUGUUCGAGUGUUAUGAAGCUCUCAAAACGCAAUUGGCUUAAAACCUGAUUGUUGUUUUGGAUUUGAACUUUGCCGUGUUAUAACGGCUGGUUUUAAAAGUAUUAGCUGGUACUAGAACGAAUUGGUUCUACUCAACGUGAUAAUUAUCUGAUCGUUGAGGACAUUCCUUUCACGAGGAAGGGCCAUAGUAAAUUCAAUGGACUGCUUCUAAUCUGGCUUUAAUUCUUUAUUGGAUUAACCACUUUUCAAAUCUGACCUCGAAUCAGGUGGGACUACCCGCUGAACUUAAGCAUAUCAAUAAGCGGAGGA
rnacentral:misc_RNA from 1 species